CACGUAGGGGGCGAGCGUUGUCCGGAUUUAUUGGGCGUAAAGAGCUCGUAGGCGGUUCGAUAAGUCGGGUGUGAAAACUCUAGGCUCAACUCAGAGACGCCACCCGAUACUGUUGUGACUUGAGUCCGGUAGGGGAGUAUGGAAUUCCCGGUGUAGCGGUGAAAUGCGCAGAUAUCGGGAGGAACACCAGUGGCGAAGGCGGUACUCUGGGCCGGAACUGACGCUGAGGAGCGAAAGCGUGGGUAGCGAACAGG
rnacentral:rRNA from 1 species